rnacentral:rRNA from 1 species
CCUACGCGUGGCAGCAGUGGGGAAUAUUGGGCAAUGGGCGCAAGCCGGACCCCGCAACGCCGCGUGAAGGAAGAAGGCUUUCGGGUUGUAAACUUCUUUUCUCAGGGACGAAGCAAGUGACGGUACCUGAGGAAUAAGCCACGGCUAACUACGUGCCAGCAGCCGCGGUAAUACGUAGGUGGCAAGCGUUAUCCGGUUUUACUGGGGGUAAAGGGCGUGUAGGCGGGACUGCAAGUCAGAUGUGAAAACCACGGGCUCAACCUGUGGCCUGCAUUUGACACUGUAGUUCUUGAGUACUGGAGAGGCAGACGGAAUGCCUAGUGUAGCGGUGAAAUGCGUAGAUAUUAGGAGGAACACCGGUGGCGAAGGCGGUCUGCUGGACAGCAACUGACGCUGAGGCGCGAAAGCGUGGGGAGCAAACAGGAUUAGAUACCCUAGUAGUC